rnacentral:rRNA from 1 species
AGAGUUGAUCAUGGCUCAGAUUGAACGCGGAGGCGUGCUUAACACAUGCAAGUCGUGCGAGAAAGGGACUUCGGUCUUGAGUAGAGCGGCGCACGGGUGAGUAACGCGUGGGUGAUCUCCCUUGGUGACCGAGAUAACAGCGGGAAACUGCUGCUAAUACCGGAUAAUCUUCAUGUUUAACUUCAUGGGGUAAAGGUGGCCUCUGCUUGCAAGCUACCACACCGAGAUGAGCCCGCGUCUCAUUAGCUAGUUGGUAGGGUAAUGGCCUACCAAGGCUACGAUGAGUAGCUGGUCUGAGAGGAUGACCAGCCACACUGGGACUGGAACACGGCCCAGACUCCUACGGGAGGCAGCAGUGGGGAAUAUUGCGCAAUGGGCGAAAGCCUGACGCAGCGACGCCUCGUGAGGGAUGAAGGUCUUCGGAUCGUAAACCUCUGUCAAGAGGGAAGAAACCCUUGGAUUCGAAUAGGGUCCUUGGCUGACGGUACCUCAAAAGGAAGCACCGGCUAACUCCGUGCCAGCAGCCGCGGUAAUACGGAGGGUGCAAGCGUUAAUCGGAAUCACUGGGCGUAAAGCGCUCGUAGGCGGUUUGGUCAGUCAGAUGUGAAAGCCCUCGGCUCAACCGGGGAACUGCAUUUGAUACUGCCAGACUUGAGUAUCGGAGAGGGUGGCGGAAUUCCGGGUGUAGGAGUGAAAUCCGUAGAUAUCCGGAGGAACACCAGUGGCGAAGGCGGCCACCUGGACGAUAACUGACGCUGAGGAGCGAAAGCGUGGGGAGCAAACAGGAUUAGAUACCCUGGUAGUCCACGCGGUAAACGAUGGAUGCUGGGUGUCGGGGGUUUACCUUCGGUGCCGCAGUUAACGCGUUAAGCAUCCCGCCUGGGGAGUACGGUCGCAAGGCUGAAACUCAAAUGAAUUGACGG